UAUUGAUAUCUCCAAUAAGUUACAAAUAUGUACAUAUACAUGAAUCAAAAUAAACAAACAAGAUGGAGCAUUCACAAAGGUUGCUCAGGAGAAGUCUCAGCAGUCGGCAGAGCCCUAGAAAGAGGAGGCACCAUAGGGUGAUUAUUCGAAGCCUCAGUACUAGGCAGAACCGCAGAAGGAGGAGGCACCGAAGGUUGAUCAUUUGGAGCUUCAUUACGCGGUACAGCCCUAGAAGACGAAGGUAAUAAAUGCCUUUGGAACAAACCCACAAACCUCUAAUGAUCAAGUAAAAUCUAACCAUCAGAUUCCUGCAGCUGGUCGAGCUUCCUCUUCAUGUUUGUAGCAUACUCAUGUGCGAGCAUGUGCAACUAUUUAUUCUCAUGCUUGAGCCAUUUGAUCUUCUGUUUGAGACUUAUCACUUCAGUCGCCAAUGAUUCCACUUGGCGGGUUCGAGCAAAUAGGCAUUGGGCCAUAUUAG
rnacentral:lncRNA from 1 species